rnacentral:lncRNA from 10 species
GGGCGGGGCUGUGGGGGCGAGGAGGGGGCAGCGGGCGCGCGGCUGGCGCGCGGGGGCGGGCCUUGGGGCACGGGGGCGGGGCCCGCCCAGCAGCACCUGGGAAACGCCCGCGCGGUUUGGGGCAGGCGUGGCCGUCGGGGCGGAGGGCGGUGGCCGGCCGCGGUCCGGGCGUCAGGCCGGGCGGCGGGGGCGGCAGGGAGGCGGCGCUCUGGGGCCGCAGGCGGACGUACUCUGUGAGCGGCGCCCGGGCGCCUGGGCAGGCGCCUCCCGAGUACCGGCGCCCAUUUUGCCCGCCCGCUAAGGAGACCCGUGCGCGGCCUACACGCUUGGGGGACAGCCCUUUAAGACGACAUCUCCGCGAACGCCGGCCUCUUGAGCCAGGGGGACGCUCUUUUGAAAGUCAGUCCCAAAACAGUUAAGGUUUUAUUUUAUUUUGUUUUAUUUCCAAGUCACAGCCCCCGAAUCUCGUACAACUCUCCCUGGACCACUUCCGGUUGCCGGCCCGCGCCUCAUAACUUCGGUUCGAGUGACCUCGGCCCGGGAUGCCCCUCGGCUCACCCCGGGCUCACGUCGCGAUCCUGGCUUGAGUGGCCCAGGGUGGGAGACCUGGAAGUUUUAGCCUAGCUGUUCUCAAGGCGGAUUAAUUAGCCCAAGAAACAUUAUAUUCAUUUUUCUGGAUAUGCCGCAGAAGGAUCCGUGCCAGAAGCAAGCCUGUGAGAUACAGAAAUGUUUACAAGCCAACAGCUACAUGGAAUCAAAGUGUCAGGCUGUCAUCCAAGAACUGCGUAAGUGUUGUGCUCAGUAUCCCAAGGGAAGAUCUGUCGUCUGUUCAGGAUUUGAAAAAGAAGAGGAAGAAAACCUAACACGGAAGUCUGCAUCAAAGUAAAGUUCUUCUGAAGUGCUGCUCCAUGUUUCCACCAAAUGAAUUUUUUUUAUCCUCCUGACUCUUCAGGCCAGGUAGCAGCAAAUAGCAAAUGAAAAAGUCAGCUACAAAAGUUAAUGAAUAUGCCAUCUAUGCAGAACAGGCAGAAAUAUAAACACAUUAAAAGACAAAUAUGUAGAAUGUAAUAUACUGAGCUGCUAAAAUAAACCUGUUUAAGAGAAAAA